rnacentral:rRNA from 1 species
CGCGUAGGCGGACUUUCAAGUCAGAUGUGAAAACUGCGGGCUUAACUCGCAACUUGCAUUUGAAACUGUUGGUCUUGAGUACAUGAGAGGAAAGCGGAAUUCCAGGUGUAGCGGUGAAAUGCGUAGAUAUCUGGAAGAACACCAGUAGCGAAGGCGGCUUUCUGGACUGAUACUGACGCUAAAGCGCGAAGGCUUGGGUAGCAAACA